rnacentral:rRNA from 1 species
AUUGAACGCUGGCGGCAUGCUUUACACAUGCAAGUCGGACGGCAGCGGGGUAGUGCUUGCACUACUGCCGGCGAGUAGCGAACGGGUGAGUAAUAUAUUGGAACGUACCGAGUAAUGGGGGAUAACCAAUCGAAAGAUUGGCUAAUACCGCAUACGCUCUGAGGAGGAAAGCAGGGGACCUUCGGGCCUUGCGUUAUUCGAGCGGCCAAUAUCUGAUUAGCUAGUUGGUGGGGUAAGGGCCUACCAAGGCGACGAUCAGUAGCGGGUCUGAGAGGAUGAUCCGCCACACUGGGACUGAGACACGGCCCAGACUCCUACGGGGGGCAGCAGUGGGGAAUUUUGGACAAUGGGCGCAAGCCUGAUCCAGCCAUGCCGCGUGUCUGAAGAAGGCCUUCGGGUUGUAAAGGACUUUUGUUAGGGAAGAAAAAGGAGCGGUUAAUACCCGUUUCUGCUGACGGUACCUAAAGAAUAAGCACCGGCUAACUACGUG